UACGUAGGGUGCGAGCGUUAAUCGGAAUUACUGGGCGUAAAGCGUGCGCAGGCGGUUUUGCAAGGCAGAUGUGAAAUCCCCGGGCUCAACCUGGGAAUUGCAUUUGUGACUGCACGGCUAGAGUGUGUCAGAGGGGGGUAGAAUUCCACGUGUAGCAGUGAAAUGCGUAGAGAUGUGGAGGAAUACCGAUGGCGAAGGCAGCCCCCUGGGAUAACACUGACGCUCAUGCACGAAAGCGUGGGGAGCAAACAGG
rnacentral:rRNA from 1 species